UACGGAGGAUCCGAGCGUUAUCCGGAUUUAUUGGGUUUAAAGGGUGCGUAGGUGGUUUAAUAAGUCAGCGGUGAAAGUUUGCAGCUUAACUGUAAAAAUGCCGUUGAAACUGUUAGACUUGAGUGUAAAUGAGGUAGGCGGAAUGCGUGGUGUAGCGGUGAAAUGCUUAGAUAUCACGCAGAACUCCGAUUGCGAAGGCAGCUUACCAAGCUACAACUGACACUGAAGCACGAAAGCGUGGGGAUCAAAC
rnacentral:rRNA from 1 species